UCACUAAGCCUGAAAGGUAAUCCAUCUACCCUCUGACCUAAACUUAUUAACAAAGAGACCCCCAACACAGACUCAGCCUUCCAAAGAACAACCCCUACCCAGCUCAGACACCAAAACACAGCACAUGGGGAAACAACCAAGUAUAUGAGAGUCCUUUACUGGGUCUAUACAGUAUUUCCUCCAGACCAAGAGAUUGCACGCUAGACGUCUGCACUGUUAAUUAUAAUACACAGUUUGAGGCUGUGAAACUGAUGUAGCAAGAAAACCUCCUCCUGCUGUCUGUUGAUGGUUCAUCAAAACCAGAAAAUGUGGCCUGUCACUCCCCCAACAAAAAGGAAAUGUUGGAACAUGUGCUGUUUUUUAUAGAGUCAUUUGGUUCUACAAAUAGUCGUGUGCCCGUCAGUGUCGAACAUGGACACCCAGAAUAGGAAAAGUUGGAUGCCCGCUGUUAGCAACACCUUUCAUUUCAGCCUCUCAGAAUUCCGGGCACUGCCAUGACCCAUUAGUGCCCUCUUGUCGCAGUCAGAGGCCCCUUCUCUAGAGCCAAGCCUCUCUCCUAGAAACACUUCAUCAUCAUUUCUAACAAAUUUCAAUUGCGUAGAUAAGUGUGAAGACAUUUACAGAAUGGGUUGGGCAUCUGCUACUGUUUGAUUUCCUCAAAGAUCUACCACUUUCCCAUUCCACACAGUUCUGGUGGGGAUGUCAAUCAAGGGACAUUUCUCCCAACAAUAGUGGACCUGAAACCCAGGAGAGCUGAUGAGCUCAGAUGACUGUGCCAGGAAGAGAAGAAUAUCUGAGUCCUUUGCAACAAGAAGGAAGGUGGGAAACAAAGGAAGGGAAGGAGGGGAGCAGGGAGGGAGGGAGGGAAGAUCAGAGCUUUCUUCUGCUAAAUAUCAUUUGCUCUCAGGACCAACCUAUGAACUGACAGUGCUAAUCACUGGGCCUAAACAUGAAGCCAACACAGAAAUGGGAUAUAUACAGUCGUAUGUCACCAUUAAGUAUUUGAUUAAGUACCAUCUAAAAGACUAUUCCUGUGGCUGAAGAAGAUGGAUCAGCAGUUAGUGUGUACUGCUUUUUCGGAAGACCAAAGUUCAGUUCUCAGCAUUGAUAUCAAGUGACUCACAACAGCCCGUAACUCCAACUCUAGAGAACCAGACUCAUCUGGGUACAGCUGUGCUUGUACUCACAUGCGUGUGCUCUUCUCUCUCUCUCUCUCUCUCUCUCUCUCUCUCUCUCUCUCUCCCUCUUAAAAAUAAAAUAAAUCUUUCAUUUUUAAUG
rnacentral:lncRNA from 1 species